rnacentral:lncRNA from 1 species
UUUUAUUGAUUAAAAGUGGUAGAGAUGCAUGAAGAGUGUUUAGAAGUGUGUAGAAAGACUUGUUGAAAUUGGGUCCCAAAUGGGCUAAGAACUCAGAAACAUUGCGUUGAACCACUAAAUGACUUAUCUAGUGUUGUUUGGGGUCAGAAUAUGUUAGAAUUCAAUAACUUUGAUUGAUUACAAGUGCUAGAGAUGCAUGAAGAGUUUUUAGAAGUGUGUAGAN